CAUCUCAUUUUUUCAUUCCCCAGCACAGCCCUGAAGAUGGAAUUCUGGAAGAUGGCAUCAAAAUGUGACGUUUUUCUUCCAUCUGAACUGUUCAGAUUGUGCUAUCAGGUGUGGUAGAGGAGGAAAAGGAAGAGGAAAAGACCUGAUUGCCAUGGAGGCAGCGAAUUCCCCAUCCGUGGCAUCAGCCAGCUAAUAGAAUAAUUGGAUCUGCUGGAGGCAAGUUCAUCAAAUGUGGGAUGCACAAUGAAUCCACUCUGGGCUCUGUCAGUGCUUCACCACGUGCCAUGAAUGCAGCAAUUCACCACUGCCCGAAGCUUUGCUGAUUUCCCUAACAUUUGCAGGAGGGYCCUGGCCACCCCAUGGAAGCAGGUAUGAAGUGGCAGAUGGGGCAGGGUGGAGGGACACCCACAGAGCCCUGCAGRAAUCCAGGUCACCACAGGGCUGAUGCAGAGUCAGUGCAGACAAAUCCUUAUGGUCUGGGAGGCACUGGGCUCAUGGCACUCUGGAGGUCCUUUAGGGCCUCAUUUUUUGUGUUGUCCCAUCAGCUGGAAAAUCCCAGUGCUCUGGCUUCAGAUGAACAGAUAUUUGUGUGCCUUGAUGCCAGCCCUGCCUCCCUGGGGCAGCAGGACCACUGUCCUUGAGGGUGGGAUCAGGGAUAAACCCCCCAGCCUUCACUGCCAGCAGGGUUUCUGUGUCCACUCCCAGCUCCAGUCCCACGCCCUGGAUCCUGCACUGGGAAUACCCUUCUGCCUCUGGGUGGCUGUGGCCAAGAGUUUCCCAGGCUUCCCAUAAAGCCACAAUAAACAGCACA